rnacentral:lncRNA from 1 species
UGUCAACAUUGAAAAUUAAUACACAUUUUCCCUGAAAUACGAUGUAUAAACGUUGCUAAAUCCUGUGUCGCUUUGAAGGUGUCACGAUUGUCAUCCUCAGCCUACGCAAUGUGUUACUGUAAUUUGAAUUUCAAAAUGACUAAGAGAUGUUUUAUUCGCCCUCUACGCCCCCUCUGGAUCCGCCACUGAAUUAAAAGUCCGAGUUGAAGUAUCGGAAACCAGUUCACAUUGACUGA